UUGUCUGUUUCUUUGUGCUUCUUCAAAAGAGCUAGCACCUGUUUAGUAUAAUUGUUUAAUCAUACACCUGACUAUAUGCCUACAAAAUCCACGACCGUGUGUAAGAGUACCUAGAAGAACGGAUGCUGUUUUGAAGGCAAAGGGUGGUCGCACGAAAUAUUGAUUUGAUGUAGAUUUUUCUACUGUUUGCUCACUUUGCAUUUUGUUCAUUGAUAAAUAUAAACUUUUUCUAUUUGUCUAUUUUUGAAAGCAUUCUUACUGUACAGCAUUUUUCACACCUGCCUAAAACUUUUGCACAGUACUGUACAUAUGAACUAUAUUAAUAAAUAUUAAAGUAAAUAAGAUAAUACAUCCAAACUGAACCACAUGGGAAGUAUCCCAUCCUGUGCAGAGUGUGUAGCCUCACGUGUCAAAACAAACACCAUGAGGUGUCAGCUGACCCUUCUCAGCUGCUCCCGCAAUGGAUGUAACCGGGAAAAACUAUGUUAUUAUUGCUAAUAACCGACAGUUCCAGCAAUCAGUUAUCGACAAAACUCAUCAAUCAGUUGACCUCUAAUACCUGUAACACUGCAAUGCCUAAUUAUUACUUUCUCUUUUUUACCACAGUAUCAGUCCAUCAACAGGUUUUCUUGCAGUUUUUUAAGUUCCUAAGUUUCCUUUUGAUGUUCAGGCCAAGUUGGACCAAAAACAACGCAAACUUUCGACAUCAGAGAAACAAAAUGAUAAAAACAUUGUAUGAAAGCAUGGCUCAGUACAAGAUGUGUCUGACUAAGGAAGAGUAUGUUCGAGUGGCUAAGGCCCUGACUCUGAGGUACCCCUUUUUAAAGGACAAAGAGGGCAAUGGAGAUGUAUUAUUUUGAAUAGCACACAUGGCACACGUCUCUGAAACGCACGAUUAAAUUUGAGCGGACACGUUCGGCUGAUGUUGAAAAGAUUUAAACAGAAGUUUUAGUCAUUCGAAAAAAGCCUCUGCAACCUGACAGCAGUGGCAAAAAAAUUGCAAGGCCUUUGAAAAUUCAGGGCUGCUCCGUGUGACCAAGGGGCGGUGUUAUCAAGUCCUGUGCAUCCUCAUCCACUCCCAGAUUCACUUUGUUCUUCAUUUUGCGUCUCAAAGAAUGGAAAAAAAAGACAUUGAGUUACCAAUCGAGAAUCAAUGUUCUUGAAAAAGCAUCCAGUGUGCUACGGCUUGCUCAAGGGAAAUCUCUUUUAGCAAAGCUGCACAAAGAGACUAGAGAAGAAUCUCUCUGUGAAGACCACCUUGGUAUUGAUUUCAAAGCAGCUCUUUUGAUGUUGCCAGCCUUGUUUGAGGAGAAACUCGAACAUUUCAUUGUGCUUGGGGGGAAUGAACCAUCAUCACCAUAUCCAACUGUUCAAGUACCAGAAGUCACUGACUGGAAAACUGUGUUUACAAGAAGAGUCACUGCAGUCUUCACAAAUUUUAGAGAAUCUUUUAUUUAUUUAUGGAAUGUUUUUAAAUCGGAGAAGGUGGCGUUUAGUUCUGUACAACAGUGGUGGGAUGUGGCUCAAGCUCAAAUUAACGCAUUUUGUCAACAGUACACUCUUAAUGUCACAAGAGACAUUGUCAGAUCUCUGAAAGCCCUGGAGACUGGAAUAGUGGAACUCCAGUGUUUGGAGACCACAGGAGUUCGAGGGCAGAUUGAAGCCCUCAAAAGUAAAAAAGCUAUAAUGAAUGACCUGUUGGGCAUCACAGCACAGGGGGCGCUGGUCCGCUCACGCUUUAAAAGCAUGAAUGAGACGGAUGCUCCUUCUAAGUUCUUUUUUGGUCUAGAGCAGAAGAAUGGACAGAAGAGCUUCAUACAUGCUGUGCGAACAGAAUCAGGGGAUCUUCCGUCAGAUCCCACUGAAAUCCGCAAGCAGACAGUUAGCUUCUACUCGAAGCUGUACAGCAGCGAGCGGUCAGGGGCACAGAUAGUGGAGGAGAGCUUCCUCAAGAACCUGCCGAAACUCUCGGAGCAUGUGGCCAGAGAUAUGGACGUAGAGAACCUGCCGAAACCUUAAGAACCUGCCAAAACUCUCGGAGCAUGUGGCCAGAGAUAUGGACGUAGAGCUAACGCUGGUAGAGCUCUAUGAGGCUCUCCAAGGGAUGGAGAACGGACGGGCGCCAGGCAUAGACGGUCUCCCUGUAGAGUUCUACAAAGCCUUCUGGACAGUUGUAGGGCAGGAUGUGCUAGAAGUGUUGCUAGACAGUGUGAAGGGAGGUGAGCUCCCAUUGAGCUGCAGGAGAGCCGUCCUGACCCUCCUACAAAAAAAGGGAGACCUGACACACUUGAAGAACUGGCACCCGGUCUCACUGUUUUCCACUGACUACAAGCUGCUCUCAAAAGCAUUAGCUUAAGACUGACUAAGGUAAUGGAGCAAAUCAUGACCAGACGUACUAUGGGCCUGGCCGGUCUAUAUUUGAUAACGUACACUUAAUUCGUGGCAUUUUGGAUGUCUCCAGGCUAUUGGGCUUAAAGACUGGUCUUAUUUUUCUAGAUCAGGAAAAGGCUUUUGACCGGGUUGAACAUGAAUACUUGUGGAAGGUGCUGGAAACCUUUGGUUUCAACCCAGGUUUCAUAGCCAUGAUCAAGACUUUGUACAGUGAAAUUGAGAGUGUACUGAAGGUUAAUGGUGGUUUGUGUGCCCCUUUUAGAGUCUACAGAGGUAUUAGACAAGGCUGUUCUCUGUCAGGUGUGCUGUACACCCUAGCAUUUGAACCUCUUUUAUGUAAACUGAGAGAUCAACUUUCUGGUUUUAAAAUGUCUCACUCCAGUGCUUCUCUCUGUCUCUCAGCAUAUGCAGAUGACCUGGUUGUAAUGCUGGGAGCACAGACUGAUGUGAAUAUUUUAAUUGAUGUUUUAAAAGAUUUUGAGAUUUUAUCAUCUGCCAAGGUCAACUGGGCCAAAAGCGAAGCCAUUUUAGUUGGAGAGUGGGGUGGUGGUGGGCAGCCCACAUUACCAGCUGGUUUGGUGUGGAAAAAGGGUGGUUUUAAGUACUUGGGUGUUUAUCUGGGCUGCAUUGAGUUUUUAAAUAAAAAUUGGGAGGGUGUUUUUGAACAGGUGAAGGACAAACUGAGCAGGUGGAAGUGGCUGGUCCCAAAAAUGUCUUACAGGGGACAAACGCUGAUCAUCAACAACUUGGCAGCACCAAUCCUGUGACUUGCUCUCAAGCAUCCAGGCCCUGCUAGUGGACUUCUUCUGGGACAGACUACACUGGAUCCCUCAGUGUGUCCUUCAUCUGCCCAAGGAGGGGUGGGGGCAGGGGCUGGUCCACAUAGCCAGCAGAACUGCAACCUUGGCGACUCCAGUUCAUCCAGAGACUCCUCACUGGACCUAGGAGGUUGGUAUGGAGAUCAGCAGCCUAUAGGCUGUUACACACAGUAGGAGGCCUGGGGUUGGACAGAACUUUGAUUUUAAUGGACACAAGAGCACUAGACUUUGCUGGAUUACCAGUUUUUUUAUCGUGGGCUUUUUAAAAUAUGGAACCUUUUUAAAAAACAAAUCAAGGAGUGCAGAACUCCACACUGGCUGCUGGAGGAACCCCUGGUUCAUGGUGGGCGAUUAGACAUCUCUGGUGUGACCACUCCUUCAUUAUCCAGGGUUCUGGUCUCCUCGGUUAUUGUGACACUCCGGCAGCUGGUGAACAUCACAGGGACGGACCUGUCACGGGCAGAGGACUAAGCAGCGCACCUGGGACUACGGUCCCUAUGUGUUGUGAAUAAGCUCCUACAUCGCUGGAGGUCCACCCUAACGUCAGAGGAGUGUGUUCAGCUGAUGGACAACUAAACAAGCGAGACUGGGCCUACAGAGGAGGAACCUUUUCCACAGCUGGGCAUCGCUCCAGAUCUAGAUGGGUGUGGGGGCCUUCUCGUGGAGUUCAGAGGUGACAUGAACAUUGAGACAGUGUCCGGUAAGCUUCUGAAAAAAGCCUGCAUGAAAGUUUUAAAUAAAAAACUGAAUGGGAGAGUGGACACCCCAUGGCGAAGUGUACUGGGUUUUAAUGAUGAUAUUAAACCACUGUUAACCAAAAAAUUCGCUGCCCUCCAAUGGAGGAUUUUACAUGGAAUUGUUUCUGUGAAUUCUUUUAUCUCCAUUUUGAACCCAAAGGUCACACAGGAAUGUCCGUUCUGUUCACAGAGAGAGACUGUUUUUCAUGCGUUUAUACAUUGCUCCAGGUUGCAGCCAUUGUUUGUCUUUUUAAAAAACAACCUGAGGUCAUUUUAUGUGGAUUUUACUUUUCAGAUUUUUAUCUUUGGUUCUAAGUACGUCAGAAGGAACAGGUUCAAAUGUCAGCUGAUCAAAUUUAUCGUUGGCCAGGCCAAAAUGGUGAUAUACCAGAGCAGAAAAAACCAAAGUGGCACAAAACACAGACUGCGACGCCAUAAAAGUUCUCUCCAGACUGAUCAAAUCACGAAUUCUGAUCGAUUUGAACGUUUACAGUAGUAUGGGAGACUUGGAGAUGUUCAAGGCAGGGUUGUGUUGCGAGGAGGCUCUGUGUUCUGUAGUGGAGGGAGAACUUUGUUUUACACCAGCAUUAGGCUGAUAAUGUUCUGAACAACCAAUUGUUGUUGCGCUGACUUAUUUAUUUAAUUGACUUUUUUUAAUGCUCAUUUAAAUAUUUAUUUAUUUAUUGAGUCACCUUGACUUGAAUGUGCAUGGUGUGACUUUUGAUAAAUAAAGCAUUGUAAAAAGUCUCUCUCUCUCUCUCUCUCUCUCGUAUAUAAAAC
ensembl:lncRNA